rnacentral:tRNA from 1 species
GGCGCAAUGGUGAAGAGGAAACACGUUCGUCUGCAAAACGAAUAUGCGGGGGUUCGAUUCCCCCUUGCGCCU